CCACAGCCCUGGUUCCGGGGGCCCAGAGAGGAUGCUACGGGAAGGAGAUAAACCGGUGUGGCCAAGUAAGCGCCACAAGCGCAGGGCAGGCGAAGGGUAAGCGGGGAGGAAACCACCUGGGAGGGCCCCUGUCGGCCGGCCAUUGGUCGGUGUUCAGACGGACGGUUCCUCCCGCCCCACGUGGAUAGCCUCUAUCGAGGGAGCCCCUGUCGAAGACGGCCUCCCGUCUUAUUGACAAGCUUCAACCGCGCCCCGUUCGAGCGAGAUAAAGAGGGAGAGGGAGUGGACAUUUUCUCCUUGAGAGGGGACUCCGGAUGGGAAAGAGAGAGAGAGAAGGGCCUUCCCAUUUUGAUAGGUGAUUUCUCCUUAGUAGGAGAUAGAGAGAGUGGCCUCCCACAUCGAGAGGUGUUUUCUCCCUAGUAGGAGAUAUAGAGAAUAGCUAUUCACCUUACAUAUGAUUUCCCCCGAGUAGGGGAUAGAGAGAAUGGCCUUUUCACCUUGACAGGUGUUUUCUCCUUAGUAGGAGACAUAGAGAAUAGCUAUUCACCUGACUUAUGAGGUAUCCUAGUAGGGGAUGGAGAGAAUGGCCUACUCACAUUGACGGUGUUUUCUCCCUAGUAGGAGACAUAGAGAAUAGCUAUCCACCUGACACAUGAUUUCUCCUUAGUAGGAGAUAGAGAGAAUGGCCUACACACAUUGACAGGUGUUUUCUCCUUAGUAGGAGAUAUAGCUAUACAGUGGGCGUUUCCGGACACCGACAGGACAUACGAUCAGGAUCCUCCACAGCCCUGGUUCCGGGGGCCCGGGGAGGAAGCUACGGGAAGGAGA
rnacentral:lncRNA from 1 species